UAAAAUGUAUAAUAUAAAAUGUGUAUAAAGUAUAAUAUAAAGAUACAGUAUUUCAGUGUUAAAGGUAUAAAAAGUGGCAAGACUGAAGAUGUGACUCAGGUUUGCACGCUGCAUAUCAAAACUGAGGACAAGCCUGGAGGAGGGUGGGGCAGUGUGCUGAGAUACUGUAUCUGA
rnacentral:lncRNA from 1 species